rnacentral:rRNA from 1 species
CCAAUAGCGUAUAUUAAAGUUGUUGCAGUUAAAAAGCUCGUAGUUGAAUUUCGGGACCAAUAUGUCUGUCGUGCCUUCGGUACGUACGGGUAUAAUUGGUUUCUACCUUCUGAUGAACCUUGAUGCCAUUAAUUUGGUGUCUUGGGGACUCAGGACUGUUACCUUGAAAAAAUUAGAGUGUUUAAAGCAGGCAUACGCUUGAAUACAUUAGCAUGGAAUAAUGAAAUAGGACGUUCGAUUCUAUUUUGUUGGUUUCUAGGAUCGACGUAAUGAUUAAUAGGGAUAGUUGGGGGCAUUAGUAUUCAAUUGUCAGAGGUGAAAUUCUUGGAUUUAUUGAAGACUAACUACUGCGAAAGCAUUUGCCAAGGAUGUUUUCAUUAAUCAAGAACGAAAGUUAGGGGAUCGAAGACGAUCAGAUACCGUCGUAGUCUUAACCAUAAACUAUGCCGACUAGGGAUCGGAUGAUGUUAAUUUUUUAAUGACUCAUUCGGCGCCUUACG